GAGAAAGGGAAGUAAGUUUUUAACCAGAGAUGUCAGUGGAAAGUAUGGAAGAGAAGACUGUAAGGUAACAUAUUACCUGAAAGCAGCUUAAGUGGAGAAUAUAGCAAGCAAAAAGCCAGAUGCAGUACAAGAUUAAAAAUUCACAAGAAUUGUCAUCCUCUUUCAUCUUAAUCAGAUGGCAUGUUUGUCAUAAUUAUUUUUUUCAUUAACAUUUGAUGAAUAUUAACUUUACGAAAUAGAACAAUCUUGCUCCUGAAAAAAUCAAGUGGAGCUCUGCAAGGCCAAAGCCAAAGGCACUCUGUGCCUUUGAUGCAUCAGUGCUGAGGGCACGGCAGAUCAACAACAGGAGUCUCCCCAGCUUUGAGGACUUUGCAUGUGGACUAUUGCCAGAUGAUCCUUCAAGUAGGGGGCUCCUGCUGCGGUCUGCAGAGCUGUGAUGAGAUGUAAAAGAAUGCAUCAGCAACAAGAAGACAUCCCUGUUGGUCUUUGCAGCUCCACAUCACUUCAUGGGAUACUUUGUAGCUCUGACUGCUGUCACAAGCAAGGGAAUUGAUAACUAUUACCUUUGUUAAAGCAGAAUUAAAGUAUGACUUCAUUAUCAGUUGACACUGGUUCAUGUGGUGUCACGUCGGGCAUUACACAAUAACUUUUUAAAAAUGUAGAAAAUGCUCAUUUCUCUUUCAAAAAAAUGUCUCUCUGACAGACAUAUGAAGUAUGUGAGAAUUCAGAGUACUUUCAAGCAUGCAAUGAGCACCUAAAUGACCUGCUGGAAACAAGUUAUGUCUAAAAACUUCUACAAAGUCAGAGGCAGAGACAACAGGCAGUCAGACAAGGAUGACUGGGGUCACAGAGAGAACAGCUGUCAGAAAGCAUAGCUAAUGGAGUCAGUUGCAGACCUGGGAGCAGGACAGAGCACAUUGUGCUGGAGGAAAAACAGGAUAUAAAAGGAUCAGAAGAAGGGAAGCUAAAAUGGAAGGAAGGUGCUCAUGUGAACUUUUAAUGUUUUCAACACAUGUCCAACUAUACAGCUGACUUAGGGGAUGAAAGAAUGGGGUUAUUUACAGUAAACUUCAGGAGAAAACAGUAGUACUCAUGUUAUCUUAAUACUGGCUUUAUAUUUGUGGUAAAAAAUACCUUCACUGGCCACAUUCCAGUUAAGAAGUUUGGAGACCUCUAUGUUCUGUUUCAAGCAAGCAGGUAAAGGCUGAGUGAUUAGAGCUGAACUUCAGGUUUGAGUCACUGAUAUGUAGUAUGACCUGGAAAAUGAAACACAGGGAUGUGGCAAAAUCCCCUCUCUUCCCCAGUGUGGGAAUACAAGAAAGACUGUACAGAGCAGCAGCUGUGGAGCAAGAUAAACGGCAUGAGAACCAAGGACACCUCUAGAAGAAGAAGAAGGAAUAGCUCACGGCUCUGAUUGGAUAAGCACCUGCAUGAACAGUUGAGGAGUGUUUGUAGAAUGUUCUGUUGACAUGUAAAGGUGGAUGGGAAAGUUGUAGGGGCAGAUGGGAA
rnacentral:lncRNA from 1 species